AUUGAACGCUGGCGGCAGGCCUAACACAUGCCAGUCGAACGAGUGGCGGACGGGUGAGUAAUUUCUGGGAAACUGCCUGAUGGAGGGGGAUAACUACUGGAAACGGUAGCUAAUACCGCAUACCAUCGGAUGUGCCCAGAUGGGAUUCGCUAGUAGGUGGGGUAAAGGCUCACCUAGGCGACGAUCCGUAGCUGGUCUGUGAGGAUGACCAGCAACAGUGGAACUGAGGCACGGUCCAGACUGCUACGGGAGGCAGCAGUGGGGAAUGUUGCACAAUUGGCGAAAGCCUGAGGCAGCGAUGCCGCGUGUAUGAAGAAGGCCUUCGGGUUUUAAAGUACUUUCAGCGGGGAGGCGUUAACCGCAGAAGAAGCACCGUCUAACUACGUGCCAGCAGCCGCGGUAAUUC
rnacentral:rRNA from 1 species